rnacentral:lncRNA from 1 species
AUGGAAGAGUCAGCUUCUCAACGAUUAAAAUUCAGAGUCUUUCUGAUCAGGAUGAUGGAUGAUGCGCUUGUCCUCCAAUUAGCUUUUGGUAUGCAUUAGAGCCCCAAGCAAACUUUAUCGUGAGCCAGGAAGUAGUAUCAGCCCAAAAGUUUCUUUGCUAUGCAGCGUACUGUAACGGUCCUUGAUUGUGACAUCGGUUUGGUACAUCGAGUUCGAGUGGUGAUCUGAUAGGUAUUUCCAAUAUGACAGGAUUAGAAUUUUUUAAGAGGACCGAGUAAAUACCAAUUUUUUUAUGAAGUAACCACUGCCUCUUAUUGCUCCCUGCAGAUAUCAUUGGAAGGGUAGGUAACCUUAUCAUAGAUCCGGCAUUGGCAGGCAACAUACGUACUCUUUCUGAUUUGAUUGUCAACAUCAAGGCGAAAGCUGAGGAAUUGAAACCUGGAAUCAAGCAUGGGAGCUCACGUGGUUCACACUCCAUUGUUCAGAUGAUUAGAUCCGUUUUGACCUGCUAUUGUGGGUGACCUGAAAUUUCAAUGGCCAUUUUCAAGGCUGCUGCUUUUUUCUUGAUGCAUUUAUAGUGGUCAAAAGUAGAGUUUGGAUUAUAAAUGACUCGUUGAUUUACCAUAUUUUGCUAGAGUGAAUUCUCCCUCUUCAAUUCUAUGUUAUAUACUCUACUAUUUGAAUUCUCCCUUCA